rnacentral:rRNA from 1 species
UACAGAGGGUGCGAGCGUUAAUCGGAUUUACUGGGCGUAAAGGGCGCGUAGGCGGUGAGAUGUGUGUGAUGUGAAAGCCCCGGGCUUAACCUGGGAAGUGCAUCGCAAACUAUUUGACUGGAGUAUAUGAGAGGGUGGCGGAAUUUCCGGUGUAGCGGUGAAAUGCGUAGAGAUCGGAAGGAACGUCAAUGGCGAAGGCAGCCACCUGGCAUAAUACUGACGCUGAGGCGCGAAAGCGUGGGUAGCGAACAGG